AGAGUUUGAUCCUGGCUCAGGAUGAACGCUGGCGGCGUGCCUAACACAUGCAAGUCGAGCGAGGGUUUGCUCAGUAUUGAGUAUUCUAAGUCUAGAAUGUUCAAUUCUGAGCAAAACCAAGCGGCGGACGGGUGAGUAACGCGUGGGUAACCUGCCCUAUACACAUGGAUAACAUACUGAAAAGUUUACUAAUACAUGAUAAUAUAUAUUUGCGGCAUCGCAGAUAUAUCAAAGUGUUAGCGGUAUAGGAUGGACCCGCGUCUGAUUAGCUAGUUGGUGAGAUAACUGCCCACCAAGGCGACGAUCAGUAGCCGACCUGAGAGGGUGAUCGGCCACAUUGGAACUGAGACACGGUCCAAACUCCUACGGGAGGCAGCAGUGGGGAAUAUUGCACAAUGGGCGAAAGCCUGAUGCAGCAACGCCGCGUGAACGAUGAAGGUCUUCGGAUCGUAAAGUUCUGUUGCAGGGGAAGAUAAUGACGGUACCCUGUGAGGAAGCCCCGGCUAACUACGUGCCAGCAGCCGCGGUAAUACGUAGGGGGCUAGCGUUAUCCGGAUUUACUGGGCGUAAAGGGUGCGUAGGUGGUCCUUCAAGUCGGUGGUUAAAGGCUACGGCUCAACCGUAGUAAGCCGCCGAAACUGGAGGACUUGAGUGCAGGAGAGGAAAGUGGAAUUCCCAGUGUAGCGGUGAAAUGCGUAGAUAUUGGGAGGAACACCAGUAGCGAAGGCGGCUUUCUGGACUGCAACUGACACUGAGGCACGAAAGCGUGGGUAGCAAACAGGAUUAGAUACCCUGGUAGUCCACGCUGUAAACG
rnacentral:rRNA from 2 species